GUUGAUAUAAACAGCUGGCAGCAAUUUCACUGAGGUGACUGUCUUCAUCCUCUCUGGAUAUGCAAAUCACCCUGAAUUACAAGUCAGUUUUUUCUUGAUGUUUCUCUUCAUUUAUCUAUUCACUAUUUUGGGAAACCUGGGACUGAUCAUGUUAAUCAGAAUGGAUUCUCAGCUUCACACCCCUAUGUACUUUUUCCUCAGCAAUUUAGCAUUCAUUGACAUAUUUUACUCCUCUUCCGUAACACCUAAGACAUUGGCGAAUUUCCAAUCCAAUCAGAGAUCCAUCUCCUUUGUUGGCUGCUUUGUUCAAAUGUACUUUUCUGUUGGAUUGGUGUGUACUGAGUGUUUCCUGCUGGGAUCAAUGGCCUAUGAUUGCUAUGUAGCAAUCUGGAAUCCCUCAUUCAGUAGUCAUUUCUUAGAAAGCGUGCAACUGGCUGGGAGUAAUGUCAUACACGAUAGGUUUCACAAAUUCUCUGGUAUCUGUCUGUGUGAUAAGUGGUUUUGUUCUGUGAUUCCAGCAUCAAUCUUUUUUUUCUGUGACACCACAGCUCUUUUAGCACUGUCCUGUGUAGAUGCAUUCAGCACAGAAAUGGUGAGCUUUGCCUUAGCUGGAUUCACUCUUCUUGGCUCUAUCCUUAUCAUCACAGUCACUUAUAUCGCCAUCACCUCAGCCAUCCUGAAGAACCAGUGGGCAGCAGGAUGGCAGAAGGCCUUCUCCACCUGCGCAUUCCACCUCAUGGGUUAACUAUCUUCUAUGGGUCCCUGAUUUUCACCUAUUUGCAACUGGAUAAAACAUCAUCCCUGAUCCACGCACAGUUGGCAUUUGUAUUCUAUAUGACUGUCAUUCCCAUGCUGAAUCCACUCAUCUAGAGUCUGAGGAACAAAGAUGUAAAAAAUGCUCUUUGAGAGUCAUACAUAGAAAACUUUUUCC
rnacentral:lncRNA from 1 species